rnacentral:lncRNA from 1 species
AUUAAUUAAAGACUGCAGGUUUACCAAUUGAGAGGACUUCGAUUAACAUAAGGUUUGUGACACAUCUCAUUAAUGAAUUCUUUUUUCACUUUUCUAUCAUAUUUUCAUGCUAUUGUUUUAUAUAUUUUAACAUUUUAUUUUGCAGAUUAAUAAAUACGUUAUUUAUUCUUCAGGUUUCAUCAUCCAAUCUACAUGCCCAAUAUAAUUUUUUUAGUUUGUCAAAUAAAUUUUUACUUCUUGUGUAAUUUCAUUUUCAAGGUAUUUAUAUUUAAAUUCAUAUUUGCAGUCUACUAGCUUAUUUUAUUAUUUUCUGGUUACUUUUUGAGUUUUUUUGGCACUACAUAGUUCCAUAAUAAUCUUUCAUUUUUAUAUUUUUUAGUGUAUUCUAUUUUAUUAUGUUUUGUUAAUAUUUUUUACUUUUUAUUCUUGGUUUUGUUAGUCUGACUUUCAAAAACUUUAUUUUUAUUUUCUUUUGAUUUUUUCAUCUGUUGCUUUCUUUUC